UGGUGGGUAGUUUGACUGGGGCGGUCUCCUCCCAAAGAGUAACGGAGGAGCACGAAGGUGGGCUAAUCACGGUUGGACAUCGUGAGGUUAGUGCAAUGGCAUAAGCCCGCUUGACUGCGAGAAUGACAAUUCGAGCAGGUGCGAAAGCAGGUCAUAGUGAUCCGGUGGUUCUGAAUGGAAGGGCCAUCGCUCAACGGAUAAAAGGUACUCCGGGGAUAACAGGCUGAUACCGCCCAAGAGUUCAUAUCGACGGCGGUGUUUGGCACCUCGAUGUCGGCUCAUCACAUCCUGGGGCUGAAGUCGG
rnacentral:rRNA from 1 species